rnacentral:lncRNA from 1 species
UGCCUACCCUGCAUAACUGGUUCAUCUCAAUAGCUUUAAAACAUUUAUAUUCUUUUAGCACUUGUUGAUAAAAUCAUGUCACAAAUACAACUAAUACCUGUGUAUACUAGAUUCCUUGAUAUUUGUGCCACAUACAUAUGCCAAAACUUCGUUACCAUGUACAUCUGAGGAUUACAUUCAUGGUUCCAUGAAGUCUUUAAGUUAUAAACACACUUUUAACAAUCCCUCUAAACACUUAAAAUCAAAUUCUUAAUUAUUCAUUAUGUUCUCUGUUCACCACUACCAUAAGCUACUGAAAGAAAGAAGUAUGUUCAGGAAAUAGGAAAUAUAAGCAUCACAAUCACAACACUUAGAUGUCGAUUACUCAUAAAAGCAAUGUAUCACGCAUCAGGUUUCAUAAAAGCGAAGUAUCUUACAUCAGGUUUCAUAAAAGUGAAGUAUCUUACGUCAGGUUUCAGGAUCCCCUUGCAUUUCUUGCAAGUGGGGAUGUGGAAAUCCUCCUCCCAAAAUUUCUCAUCUAUCUCAAUAUCACCAUCAGGCCUUUGUUUCAUGCCAAAGCUCUUAUCUGAUCCAGGGCUG